rnacentral:tRNA from 1 species
GCUCUAGUAGCUUAAAUCUUAAAGCGUUGUUCUUGUAAACCAAAGCUGGAUCCACCCUAGAGCA